CAGAAUAAAGGGUCAGUCAGUUAUAUUCACACAGACAGCAGCUGUGAUGGCAUUGCAGGAAGCAAAGAGGAUUUAACUUCGAUUAAAAAACUUGAAAAUUCAUUUCUAAUUUUUUUUUUGUUGGUUUCCUGAUUAAUCUGAUAUACUUGAGAAUACUUUUCCACAUAUUGUUUUUGCCAUUUUAUGGUUUUACUUAUUCUUGUUAAAUCUGUUGUUAUACCAUUUGAUUUUAUGUAUGCAUAUUUGUAAGCCAUGCCAAUUUUUGUAUGCAAACAGGUCUUCAUCGAUGGCAGAUGAAAAGGUUGACAAAGAAGUCCCUGUUGAAGAAAAUGGGACUAAAGA
rnacentral:misc_RNA from 1 species